rnacentral:rRNA from 1 species
UACGUAGGGUCCAAGCGUUAAUCGGAAUUACUGGGCGUAAAGCGUGCGCAGGCGGUUGUGUAAGCCAGAUGUGAAAAUUCCCGGGCUUAAACCUGGGGGAAUGGCCAUUUUUGGGGAACUGCACGGGCUAGAGUACGGCAGAGGGAGACUAGAAAUUUCCUGGUGUUAGCAGUGAAAAAUUGCGUAGAUUAUACAGGGAGGGGAAAAUUACCCGAA